CUGAUGUCUACUGUGCAUAACAAAUUUAAUAAAAUAUUUAUAAGGUAUAAUUUAAUUUGGAGCAUAAACUUUAGAUAUCAGCUUCUACUGCAUAAGUUUUAAGGAAGAGGGCUAUGAUUGUUCAUCCGGGCUGGGUUUUUCUCAACUCAGUCCUGAACCUAGUUAUAAUUCGGAUAAUCGGAUUCCAACCUUAAACAAACCCUGUUCGAUACCUGUGUAGAAAAAGCAAGAAGCAAGGUUCUAUGUCGGAGAACCGAAGCGAUGAAAGCUUGCUGCAUUUGAUAUUGCAGGGCACAGACACCGGAUCUUCCACGUGUUUGUCGUUCUUGGGGCACUUGCAUACAACGCCGCCACUAUGGUUAUUUUGGAUUUUCAUCAGGGAUCGCCAAUGUGUGUAUUGACCAUUACACUCUGGUUGUCUAUUGUUGCUCUUGUUGUUGGAUUUGAAUGGUAGUUGAGAAGGAGAGUAGUUCAUGACGUUGUAAUUGUGUCAUCUUAGAAAAGUAUCUCAAACUUGUUUUGACUCUGUGUGUUCCUUUGCAUGCCUAACUUGACUCAAAAUGAAUGAUCAUUCUCUCUAGUUACUAAAGAUCCAGACUGUACGAGUGUAAACAUUGACUCGGCCUUCCAUGAUUCCCUGUAUCUUAUCACCUUUGCUGUCUCAUAGUAAUACAAAAGUUAUGAUCAUUUUUCAA